UAAAAAACGAUGACUGUGAUAGCAUCGUUUGCCAAGGGCUAAAGUUUAUCUGGGAUAAGAAAGGAAUGAUCCUCGAUGUCAGAAAAAAAGAAUUGAGCCAAAUCGCUUUGGAUUAAUAUUUUCUGCAACCCUCCCAAAAUCAUGAUUGAUGAGGGUGAGAGAUUACUUACGACUGGUAACCCAGACGAGAAGGGAAAUCUAAGGGAAUCCAAAUCAGGGGAAUGAGCCUCGUUGUCGGAGAGUGAUACUCCCUGCGAUUAGCUCGUCUCCCAGGGAUCGAGACGAACAAAGGGGGUGUCGACUCUCCUGUCAGAGAGUGAGCCUCGUCUCCGAUUGGCUCGUCUCCUGCGAUUGGCUCGUUGUCGGAGAAUGAGCCUCGUCUCCCAGGGAUCGGGACGAACAAAGACCGGAAGAUCAUGCUCCCGUCAACGACUGCGAGGACGGGGGUGCUGACUCUCCUGCGUACAUCAUCGCCUAGGUAGCAGUUUACGACAGGAUCAGUCUAAUGCUUGCUUCAUCAUUUUCUCUAUCAAUGCCAAACCUGAAUGAUGUGUGGCACGUCGCGCAAGCUUAACGGACACCUCGCUUUGUUGUCGUAGCUCAAGCGUUUGCUCUGUUGUUUAAACACUGCGUACUGCAGGAGG
rnacentral:lncRNA from 1 species